rnacentral:rRNA from 1 species
CAGUCGCCGCGGUAAUACGUAGGUGGCAAGCGUUGUCCGGAAUUAUUGGGCGUAAAGGGCUCGCAGGCGGUUUCUUAAGUCUGAUGUGAAAGCCCCCGGCUCAACCGGGGAGGGUCAUUGGAAACUGGGAAACUUGAGUGCAGAAGAGGAGAGUGGAAUUCCACGUGUAGCGGUGAAAUGCGUAGAGAUGUGGAGGAACACCAAUGGCGAAGGCGACUCUCUGGUCUGUAACUGACGCUGAGGAGCGAAAGCGUGGGGAGCGAACAGGAUUAGAUACCCGCGUAGUCCCUGUCUCUUAUAA